UACAGAGGGUGCGAGCGUUAAUCGGAAUUACUGGGCGUAAAGCGCGUGUAGGCUGCUCCGCAAGUCGGAUGUGAAAGCCCUGGGCUCAACCUAGGAAGUGCAUUCGAUACUGCGGAGCUGGAGUCCUGGAGAGGAAGGCGGAAUUCUCGGUGUAGAGGUGAAAUUCGUAGAUAUCGAGAGGAACACCCGUGGCGAAGGCGGCUCUCUGGGACGGUACUGACGCUGAGACGCGAAAGCGUGGGGAGCGAACAGG
rnacentral:rRNA from 1 species